GGAGGCGCGAGAUUGGCCGGCAUAGACACCGAGAGCCCCGUUCCCAAGUACUACCAGCUCAAGGAGAUCAUCCGGGACAUGAUCGAGAAGGAGGAGCUCAGGGCUGGUCAGGCCAUACCGUCGGAGCGGGAGUUCUGCGAGCGGUACGGCAUAAGCCGGAUGACCGCGCGCCAGGCGAUCAUGGAGCUGGUCAACGAGGGGUUGCUGUACC
rnacentral:misc_RNA from 1 species